rnacentral:misc_RNA from 1 species
GAGAAUGUACCUUCACAUCACAUGGCCAAUUGCUCAAUAAUUCAUAGUUCAUAGUAUCUUCUAUUGACAAUUGUUCCUGCACCAAAAAUUGAUAAAGACAAAGUUAGGUUGCUUCCAAGUAAAUCAGCCAGGUAAAUGGCUAUGAAAUCUUACCAAGAACAAGAAUUUUUGCCCAAGAAUGAAAAAAAAAAAAAAAAGAAGAAGAAAAAG